AAUUGGGUGGCCUUUCCAUCCAACACCCUAGAAAAGGCCUCAAAAGCUUGUUUGCGCUUUUCUUCCCCCCUCAGACACAAAAAGCAUCCGUGGAGCUCAAGUUUGAGGUGAAAGCAGGCUCAGAGUCCACCUGUCCUCGCUGAUCCAUGGAUUUCUGUGUGACCAGGUCCCGGGCUGGACAGAGAGUGACUCUACUGGGAGCCGUGCCAUGAGACCCAGGGCGUCACCCACCUGGGCUCCCUCACCCUGGACGGGGACAGCCUCUACGUCAGUGAUUACACCUAUGGAGCCGCAGCCCCGACUACCACCAG